rnacentral:rRNA from 1 species
UGGGGAAUUUUGGACAAUGGGGGCAACCCUGAUCCAGCCAUGCCGCGUGAGUGAAGAAGGCCUUCGGGUUGUAAAGCUCUUUCGGCGGGGACGAAACGGUCCGUGACAACACCACGGACUAAUGACAGUACUCGCAGAAGAAGCACCGGCUAACUACGUGCCAGCAGCCGCGGUAAUACGUAGGGUGCAGGCGUUAAUCGGAAUUACUGGGCGUAAAGCGUGCGCAGGCGGUUUGUUAAGACAGAUGUGAAAUCCCCGGGCUUAACCUGGGAACUGCGUUUGUAACUGGCAGACUGGAGUGUGGCAGAGGGGGGUGGAAUUCCAAGUGUAGCAGUGAAAUGCGUAGAUAUCUGGAGGAAUACCGGUGGCGAAGGCGGCAUCCUGGACCAUUACUGACGCUGAGGCGCGAAAGCUAGGGGAGCAAACGGGAUUAGAUACCCCUGUAGUCCCUGAGCGGGCUGGCAAGGCGCAU